GGGGGCGUGGCGAAACUGGCAACCGCUAAGGGCUUAAAACCCUUCGCCCGCAAGGGCUUGCAGGUUCGAAUCCUGCCGCCCCUA
rnacentral:tRNA from 1 species